rnacentral:rRNA from 1 species
GUAGGGGGGCAAGCGUUGUCCGGGAAUUAUUGGGGCGUAAAGAGCACGUAGGCGGUUUGCCAAGUCAGAUGUGAAAUCCCGCAGCUUUAACUGCGGAACUGCAUUUGAUACUGGCAGGCUAGAGUACAGGAGAGGGAAGCGGAAUUCCUAGUGUAGCGGUGAAAUGCGCAGAUAUUAGGAAGAACACCGGUGGCGAAGGCGGCUUCCUGGACUGUUACUGACGCUGAGGUGCGAAAGCUAGGGGAGCAAACAGGAUUAGAUACCCUGGUAGUCCUAGCCGUAAACGAUGGGCACUAGGUGUAGGGAGUAUCAACUCCCCCUGUGCCGCAGCUAACGCAUUAAGUGCCCCGCCUGGGGAGUACGGUCGCAAGACUA